rnacentral:rRNA from 1 species
AUUGAACGCUGGCGGCAUGCCUAACACAUGCAAGUCGAACGGAAACGAUGGAAGCUUGCUUCCAGUCGUCGAGUGGCGGACGGGUGAGUAAUGCUUGGGAAUCUACCCAGUAGUGGGGGACAACUUUCGGAAACGGGAGCUAAUACCGCAUACGUCCUACGGGAGAAAGUGGGGGAUCUUCGGACCUCACGCUAUUGGAUGAGCCCAAGUUGGAUUAGCUUGUUGGUGGGGUAAUGGCCUACCAAGGCGACGAUCCAUAGCUGGUCUGAGAGGACGAUCAGCCACACUGGGACUGAGACACGGCCCAG